AGCACCUAAAAGCGUUUUCUUGCACGCCAAUUAAAUGCGCUUGAAAAUCGUACAUGUGUGCUAGAUCAAAGCUAAGUUGCAAGUGACUCUUUGAAGUAUUUAGAAGAGUCCAUAACGCUGAGUACAUUU
rnacentral:snoRNA from 15 species